ACCUACAAAUGGGUAGAACCCAUAUCUAUUUCAGUUCUUUUUAGUGCUUGGGUUGGAUUAUCCGUGACCAUACGGGUUAUAACAGUUUUAAAAAAGCACGUAACUUUCAUCUUAUUUUUCUCCAACUGCCACCUUUCACGCACAACACUAUUAUCUUCUCUAUCAGUUUGAAAUUCAAAUUCCUUGAUUCGUGGAGGCUUGAUUUGAUACCUUCCAAUCGUAGCCUUGGUUGCAACACUUUCCGGUGGCGUCCUUGCCGGCUUCUUCAUCAACAUGUCCGAAAAACGUCGGCCUGAGCAACGGUGACGUGCAGAUCAAAGGCACAAUUUCAGAAAACGCGAAUCCCAACAUUCGAACAUCAGGUUUUACGAUCAAUCUUUCUUGGCUUCACAUUCUAUGAUGUGUCUCAUUGGAGCAUCAUGCAGGUUAUGUUGUUGAUUAAUGAGUAUAUACAUUUAAACUCUGAUGCCAAUUUAUUAUGUUUUGGAAAUCUGCACGGCGUGUAUAACAGGAUUGUCUAGCCUUAACACACCUUCUCUGUAUAAAGCUCAUUCCCCAUAUGCUUUCAGUAGCGGUCUAUCGUCAUCGCCAAGUCACGUGAACAUCUGGUGUUUUAGAUUGUUAACUCCAUGUCUAUGGUUGAUGUUCAAAUUGGUGCAUGGUUGCGUAACCCGAUCCUCUGUCCAUUGUAUUGAAUAGGAUAUGAAAGCAUAGUCACGGAUGAAGGCUCAUUUUUGACUCCACCGCAGUGGAAGCUACGUGCUCUACAAUCUUCAGGAAAUACCUAUAACAGACCUCUCUCUGGGUAGAAUUUUGGAACAAAGAGCAAGUAAAAUUAAUAAGCAGCAUUCCCUUCCCUCAAGUACGCACGUAGAGACAUAUAGCAACAUACUCCAUCAGAUGUAUGCUCUUCUGGUAGAUCAUUCCAGCUGCAUGAUCAUCUCGCACCCAGGAAUGGCGUGGCGACGGGGUCCUACCACAUUUCCUGCAAAGAUAGAAGGCUUGCCACAUUUCUUGGUGACUUGAAGUAUGCUUACAACUUUGGUCACAAUCUGACGAGACUUGCUUCUGCACUUUCUUGCAGCAUGGAUCUAACUUGGUAAUAAAAUUUUAUGCUAUUUCUCACCAUUCCCAGUCACUUUUGUAGUCUAUCCAUCCAUCCAUAAAACACAUGUUCAUUGUAUUUAAUUCAGUUUAUUUUAUAUCAUUGAUGGGAGCAAGUUUUCUGUUGAAUGAUAUA